rnacentral:rRNA from 1 species
CAGCCGUAAACAAUGUGCGUUAGGUGUGUCGGUAACCACGUGUUACUGAUGCGCCGAAGAGAAAUCGUGAAACGCACCACCUGGGAAGUACGGUCGCAAGGCUGAAACUUAAAGGAAUUGGCGGGGGAGCACAACAACGGGUGGAGCCUGCGGUUUAAUUGGACUCAACGCCGGACAACUCACCGGGGACGACAGCAAUAUGUAGGCCAGGCUGAAGACCUUGCCUGAAUCGCUGAGAGGAGGUGCAUGGCGUAGACGUCU